rnacentral:rRNA from 1 species
GAUGAACGCUGGCGGCGUGCUUAACACAUGCAAGUCGAACGGAAAGGCCAGUGCUUGCACUGGUGCUCGAGUGGCGAACGGGUGAGUAACACGUGGGUGAUCUGCCCUGCACUUUGGGAUAAGCCUGGGAAGCUGGGUCUAAUACCAGAUAGGACCAUGCUUUGGAUGGUGUGGUGGAAAGUUUUUUCGGUGUGGGAUGAGCUUGCGGCCUAUCAGCUUGUUGGUGGGGUAAUGGCCUACCAAGGCGUCGACGGGUAGCCGGCCUGAGAGGGUGUACGGCCACAUUGGGACUGAGAUACGGCCCAGACUCCUACGGGAGGCAGCAGUGGGGAAUAUUGCACAAUGGGCGCAAGCCUGAUGCAGCGACGCCGCGUGGGGGAUGACGGCCUUCGGGUUGUAAACUCCUUUCGCAACUGACGAAGCUUUUUGUGACGGUAGGUUGAGAAGAAGCACCGGCUAACUACGUG